rnacentral:rRNA from 1 species
AGAGUUUGAUCCUGGCUCAGAUUGAACGCUGGCGGAAUGCUUUACACAUGCAAGUCGAACGGUAGAGGGGGCAACCCCUUGAGAGUGGCGAACGGGUGAGUAAUAUAUCGGAACGUGCCCAGUCGUGGGGGAUAACGUAGCGAAAGUUACGCUAAUACCGCAUACGAUCUAAGGAUGAAAGCGGGGGAUCGCAAGACCUCGCGCGAUUGGAGCGGCCGAUAUCAGAUUAGGUAGUUGGUGGGGUAAAGGCUCACCAAGCCAACGAUCUGUAGCUGGUCUGAGAGGACGACCAGCCACACUGGAACUGAGACACGGUCCAGACUCCUACGGGAGGCAGCAGUGGGGAAUUUUGGACAAUGGACGCAAGUCUGAUCCAGCCAUUCCGCGUGCAGGAUGAAGGCCCUCGGGUUGUAAACUGCUUUUGUACGGAACGAAAAGGUUUCCAUUAAUACUGGGGGCUCAUGACGGUACCGUAAGAAUAAGCACCGGCUAACUACGUGCCAGCAGCCGCGGUAAUACGUAGGGUGCAAGCGUUAAUCGGAAUUACUGGGCGUAAAGCGUGCGCAGGCGGUUAUGUAAGACAGAGGUGAAAUCCCCGGGCUCAACCUGGGAACUGCCUUUGUGACUGCAUAGCUAGAGUACGGUAGAGGGGGAUGGAAUUCCGCGUGUAGCAGUGAAAUGCGUAGAUAUGCGGAGGAACACCGAUGGCGAAGGC